UUUGUUUGCUGUUCGGUUAAAUAGAGAAACUGACUCUUAAUUAUAUAAAAGUACCUUGAAUUUUUAAGUUUAAUUAUAAAGCAAAAUGCACACUCGGCGGACAUGUUCAUGAGAAUAUUUUUUUCUGUGAACGAAAUCUACAACACUUGUCAAUCAUAUUGCAUGUUGUGUCUAAAAAUAACAUGUGGGCGUCCCACGGUCUAGACAGGUUUUGUGUCGGGCCCUAUUUCAAAUUAGGGCCUGAACUUCAGGUUAUAAAAA